rnacentral:rRNA from 1 species
CCUACGGGUGGCAGCAGUGGGGGAUAUUGCACAAUGGGGGAAACCCUGAUGCAGCAACGCCGCGUGAGUGAAGAAGUAUUUCGGUAUGUAAAGCUCUAUCAGCAGGGAAGAGAAUGACGGUACCUGACUAAGAAGCCCCGGCUAACUACGUGCCAGCAGCCGCGGUAAUACGUAGGGGGCGAGCGUUAUCCGGAUUUACUGGGUGUAAAGGGAGCGUAGACGGCUGGUCAAGUCUGAAGUGAAAGCCCGGGGCUUAACCCCGGAACGGCUUUGGAAACUGAGCAGCUAGAGUGCUGGAGAGGUAAGCGGAAUUCCUAGUGUAGCGGUGAAAUGCGUAGAUAUUAGGAGGAACAUCAGUGGCGAAGGCGACUAUCUGGCACAUAACUGACGCUGAGGAGCGAAAGCGUGGGUAGCAAACAGGAUUAGAUACCCUAGUAGUC